UAAUUUUGCACACUGUAAAUGAUAUUAAAGUUUUCUCUUAAGAUGCUCUGACAUAUUUAUGCAUACAUAUUAUAGUCAAUAAUGGUAAACAUGUGUAGACUUAUUGACAGUUUGCCGCAGACUGUUGAUGUGACAAAUAAUGAUCUUUUUUAGGCUAUUCAGUACUGAACAUUUUUCGAAUGGCAAGUUCUUACUUUGAUAUUGUGGUGAAAGAAAAGAAAGAAGUGGCUUAUCAGUGGAUGAAGAAGAAUUCUGAAAACAAAAUGUGUUUUUAUACAUUCCAAGAUAAGCAGUGGUGCAUUGAUGCAGAAGGAACCCAGGACAACAUCUGCCAGUUAAAUUAGAUUAUGCCGAUGAGUCACAAACAAAUGCUCUCAUGAAACAACAUCAAAAUCAGCCUCUGUCAUUUUGCCAAGACAUAUAUUCAGCUAAGCAAUGAAGUAGUUUACAACUAUGGUGAUGGAAGGACAUUUGUGGUGGAGGAAGCAGUGUGCCAGGCAGCUGUUUCCUUUCCUAACAUUGCUGAAGAGAAGAGUCCUGCCAACAUAACAGAUUGUUCAGUUACAGUUAAAUGGUCUCCAGAAGACACUGACAUUCUAAGAUCUUAUCAACCAAAGGAGGCCUGCCAAGUAAAGAGGAGAUCCUUUAUUUCCUGGAUAUGCACAAUCCCCACUCCCUGCAUAGAUUGAACAGAAAAGAGCAGUAUGGAAAUACAAGAACCAAACUGUUAAUGAACGCAAACACUGUAUUUAAGCAUAGAUGGAAAUAGCAACAACAGUGUAGAUGUGUGUGGCAUAUUUUCGUUUGGAUCAGUCCAAUAUUUGUUAGAGGGGGGACGGGGUCCUUCAAAUUAUUGUUAUGCAAACUAUUUAUUCAGUUUAUCAGUAUUUAAGACAAUAAUGAAUUAUACAUACUUAGAAUGAUACAUACUGUGGAUGAACUUUUUUUAGGUCUUUAUUCCCAUUAUUAAAAAAAUUCUUGGCCCAAUUUUAUCUGUACCUUAUUUGAAUUUACACAGUUUAGUGACUUGAUUAGCAGGUGUGAAAUAAUUAGCCCAAUAGCUACUUAUUCGUUUGACUGACCACUGUGCACACACUGUGUAUUAUAGCCAAGGGUCUUAUAUGUGAACAUUAUAGAGAACAUAAUUGAAAGGAGUCAUUAUAUAAAGCAAUCUAUUGUCAUGUCAGCUGUGUUUAGACAUUGUCUUGCGCAUGCUACAGAUUUACAUAAUGAACCAAACUUCCAACGCAUCACUUUUGGACAAUUGCUCUUUUGAAGAUGCAUUUUCAGCUCUACUGGCCAAAGUUCCGGGUGACACGAGACCGUUUCCAAGGAACUUGGAUAACCGGGUCAAUGUGUUUUCAACCUCUCACAAGAUUUCUUACCACUACAACGGAAAUCCCGCGAGAUCUUUCUUUUUGCACCGUCAUUCAGCGGGAUAUUUCGAUAUUUUCCACGUUGCACGAUAAAAUGUUAAGUUAAAUGUGUUUUAUAAAAAAAAACUUAAAUUGAUAACGAAGCUUAAAAUUAUUAUAGGACUGUUUUCAUGUUGUUGCUUUUUUAAAUUAUGAUUUUUAAUACUAACUUUCCCCAAAAUAGAUGAAGGUUACACGUACAGUACUAUUACAAUAUCCUUUAUGUUUCAAAACCUCCUACGCAGUAAUCUCCCUUGGCGAGUUUAAAAAACGAGUUUUAAAAAAUUAACAUUGAGCUUAAUUGUUUGUUUUGAAAAUGUCAUACGAUUUUUUUCCAGAUAAUCCCCUCUUAUGUAUAGUAUUUUUUAUCCCUGUUCUAUUUACCCAUAAGAGAAAAAUGUGUUCACAAAAACAAAAAAUGUAUAAAGCCCUGAAUUCACAUAACAUGCCGGUACAAGUAAAAGGUGAAUUUCAUGCUGUUGAAAUUCAUGUAUUAGACCAUU